CGACCGCUGGCGGCGUGCUUAACACAUGCACGUCGAACGGAAAGGCCCCUUUGGGGGUACUCGAGUGGCGAACGGGUGAGUAACACGUGAGUAACCUGCCCUUGACUUCGGGAUAACUUCAGGAAACUGGGGCUAAUACCGGAUAGGAAUCCUUGCUGCACGGUGGGGGUUGGAAAGCUUCGGCGGUUUUGGAUGGACUCGCGGCUUAUCAGCUUGUUGGUGGGGUAGUGGCUUACCAAGGCUUUGACGGGUAGCCGGCCUGAGAGGGCGACCGGCCACAUUGGGACUGAGAUACGGCCCAGACUCCUACGGGAGGCAGCAGUGGGGAAUAUUGCACAAUGGGCGGCAGCCUGAUGCAGCAACGCCGCGUGCGGGAUGACGGCCUUCGGGUUGUAGACCGCUUUCAGCAGGGGCGAAGCUUGUGGUGACGGUACCUGCAGAAGAAGCACCGGCUAACUACGUG
rnacentral:rRNA from 1 species